GAUAAACGCUGGCGGCGUGCCUAACACAUGCAAGUCGAACGAUCCCGCAAGGGAGAGUGGCGGAAGGGUGAGUAACACGUGGGAAUCUACCUCCUCGCAGGGAACAACCUCUCGAAAGAGAGGCUAAUACCCAAAGGGUCAGAAAUGAUCAGAGUCGAAAGGCGUGAGGAGAGGAGCCCGCGGCCCAUCAGCUAGUUGGUGAGGUAAUGGCUUACCAAGGCUACGACGGGUAGGGGAUCUGAGAGGAUGUCCCCCACACUGGAACUGAAACACGGUCCAGACGCCUACGGGUGGCAGCAGUGAGGAAUAUUGGACAAUGGGCGAAAGCCCGAUCCAGCAACGCCGCGUGGAGGAUGAAGGCCUUCGGGUCGUAAACUUCUUUAGAGGGAGACGAGAAAGGACGGUAUCCCUAGAAUAAGCGACGGCAAACUACGUGCCAGCA
rnacentral:rRNA from 1 species